GACAAUUGUACGUAGCAUUAUCAAGAGGUAUAUCAAUGUCAACAACAAAGGUUUUAGUCAAAGACAACAAGGAAGGAAAAAAACCGGAUCGUAUACAAGAAACGUGGUCUACAAAGAAGUUCUAUUACCAAGAAGGAUCACUGAUUUGACCACAAAUAUUGAUGAAGAGUAAUGUAGUGGAACCUCAACAAAUCGAGACUUUGAGAAAUUUUGAGGCUGUCAACCAGGAAUCACAACAUUCAGAUCACUCAUUGUUUCACAAGUGACGAAUGAAGUUUUACACAGGCUUUGCAAAUUCAAGUAUGAUAGUGGUACUGUGGAAGAACUCAAUGUUGAUAUGCAAUGUGAAUAGCAGAAUGCAGCAGGGCAAAUAGUCCUAGAAUAUGCCAAAGCAAUAAAGGAAACUGUAUUUAAGCAACUACGUGUAUUUCGUAAUGGUCAGCUAAGACUUUUUUAUACACUUGAU